GAGAUCUCCCCGUGUUCAUGUGUCUCAUUUUCCGACACUGACGAUCAGAGCCAUCUCCCCAACAUCCUCAUAGAUACCAUGGCGUGAUCUUAACCCGCUGAACCACAAUGCGUACUCCAAGAGCCGUUCUAUUUAAACCAUUGAACACUUGUGCAGUACUCCCGAUUAAGAGACUUUGAAAUGCUUUAGACAAAAAUGUUUCUCUCUAAACAGAUUAAGAAACUGAAUCCUAGUUGGCUAGAAUUCAUUCUUAUAUCACACAGCUAAUGGGAGGCAGAAUCCUAAAAUCUGCUUCCAACUUCCACCUGAAACUGACAACGCAAGGCAAAGUGUUUUUAUUUCUGUGUUGCGUGAGUGUAAGGACCGUACAAUCUGGAUGGACUUUCUGGAACAAUAAUUUAAAAGAUUAAAACAAAAAUGGGUCCCAUAUUAUAGAAAUGUUUUAAAUUGACUAUUUUACUAUUUAUACAAUAAAUGAAGAAAACCGACACUAGAACAAACCAGUAUUCAGCCAACACACAAUGCAACAUGCUAGCAAACAUGGUCAAAGGAUGGAUGUGUAUCAGGCACGACUUUUCAUGUCCCAUCUUGGCUUUUUUUUGGGGGGGGGAAGCAUUCAUUUAUGAGGUUUUCUGGGGUUUGGGGGUUUUUUUGCAAAAGCUAUAUAUCCUGGCUCCUUCCUUACCUCUUCAGAACAGUCUCUCAGAGCUGAGACCCUGUCUUCUGGGCUUAAGUCUUCAUUAUGUCUGUUGAAUAAAACAUAAUUUUCAGUUUUUAGGUUGUGCUUUUCUUCUCAGUUGGCACCUGACAUUUGGCAGAUAACCAAAUGUGUUUCUCCUUCUACUAGACUGUGACCUGCUCGAGGAAAGAGGUUUCAUCUCCUUUAUUCCUGGGUCCCCAACAUGAGCUCUGUGCCUGGCAGGCAGUAGGUGCUGGGAACUGUCACAUCGAGGGACUUGGAAGUGGGGCAUGAUGGGAAGUAGUGGUCGGCAGGGCAGGCCCAACCAGAACCCAGAGCUGGGAACAAAAUGCAAGCAGGACUCCACCUUCCAAGCUCAGAGGACCAGUGGCUCUCCUCAGGACUUGUAGGAAGUGGCUUUUAAGUUGGCAGGGCUGGAGGUGUGUCUCUCCCUGAGGGGCAGAGCAGGGAGCAAUGGGCUGGUUCCUCUCCCUGAGGCAGGGCAGCUGUGUCCCCCUCUGGCCACUAUGGUAUGUCUCAUCCCACUUGGUCUUCUGCAAGGUGAUCUUAUCCCUCCUCCAUCAAAAGGAUCAGUCACAGCCCUCCCCUGAAUCCGGACUGGUCUCGGUGACUCACUGUAACCACAGAACACAGCAGAAAUUGCCCCACAUAAAUUCUGAGCCAAGGCCAAAAGGAGUCUUUUGGGUUUUUGUUUCUUUGUUUCCUCCUUAGGGCUGCACCUGUGGCAUGUGGAAGUUCCAUAUGCCACAGGUUAUGGGCUAGGGGUCAGCAGCUGCCAGCCUGGGAUCCGAGCAGCAUCAGCAGCAAUGCUGGAACUUUAACUCCCUGAGUGAGGCCAGGGAUUGAACCUACAUCCUCACGGACACAAUGUCAGGUUCUUAACCUGCUAAGCAACAACAGGAACUCCAAGGCCAAAAGGAAUCUUGCAAUUUCUUCCUAGUCUCUUGGAUAGCUCACUCCUUCUUGAGACAUUUCCCUCUCAAAGCCAGUUAUUUUGCUGUGAGAAGCAGGCCAUGUGGACAGGCCACCUGUCAGCCCUCCAGUGACAGCACCAGCUGAGCCUUCAAGUCAUCCUAGCUCUGGCACCAGCCCUAUGAAUGGAAGCAGCCUCCAGGUAUUCUGGCCCCAGCCAUUUGAGUCUUCCUAGCUAAGGGCCCAGAAAUCAUGGAACAAUGUAUUAUUUAUCUAUUGCUGCAUGAAAAAAUUAUCCCCCAAAAUUUACAGCUUAAAACAACAAACGUUUAUCGUCUUACACAGUUUCUGACAGUUAGGAAUCCAAGACCCUCAUAUCUGGGUGGUUCCGGCUUUGGGGCUCUUGUAAAGUGGCAGUCAAACCAUUGGCCAAGGGCUGCAGUCAUCUAAGACUUUCUCUGGGGCUAGCAGGAGGCCUUGGUUCCUCUCCAGAUGGGCCUCUCCUUAUGUGAGUGUCAUCACACCAUGGCAGCUGGCUUCCCCCAGUGUGAUGAUCCAAACGACAGAGGCAGAAACCACAGUACCUUUUAUAACCUAGACUCCAAAAUGAUAUACUCUCACUUUCUGCCAUAUUUUAUCCGCCACACAGACCCAUCUGGUGCAAAGUGGGAGGGGACUACAACAAGGGCAUGAAAACCAGGAGCCAAGGGUCAUUGGGAACCAUCUUGGAGGUUCCCAGGCACCCCCCACCCCCAAAUUCUUGACCCACAGAAUUCAUGAGCGUGAUCAAAUGGUGGUUGUGUACGCCUUGACCUUUGGGGUGGUCUAUUACACAGCGGUAGUUAAUGAGAACAGAGCCAAGAGAAGUAUUCAUCCAGGUCAGAUUACCACCAGAGGGCGUCUGACAGCUCAUUCCCUGGGGAUGUCAGCUGAGCCACGGCACCUGCUGACCUGCCCCGGGGCGGCGGAAAUAGGGGAAAGGGCACUAGAGAGAGAAAGCCAAGGACGUGACCAGGUGACAAAUGGACAAGAAGAGGAAGAAAGACAGAUUCUGCCCAUGUCCACAGGCCCUGGGAUUAGGGCUGCGUGGGGUAGAUGCUCCAGGAGCAGCAAGCCAUGGGGGCUAAGAGGUGAGCUGGGGCGGGGAACCCAAGGCUGCCAGCAGAAGAAGCUAUCGGCACCGAGCCCUGUAUCAGCAUGGCCUGGGGCGGGAGGUGGUGGGGUGCGGCGCGCCCCACACACUGUGUCUGCGGAUAAUGAAGGAGCUGAGCUGAGCAGCUGUGAUGACAGCAACACAGCCAGCCUAUAAGCAGCCACGGAGGGGUCAGCCAAGGGCCAGCAGGGGACAUCAAAGGAAACAAAUCUUUUUUUCUUUCUUAUCCCUCCAACAGAGGGCAGGGAAGAGAAAGUGGAAGGAGCCCUUCUCCUCUCCUGCCAUCCGUCCUCCCUGCUGGAACUUUGACUCCAACACAGAAUGGCCUUUGAAAAAGGAAACACCAGGAGUUCCCUGGUGGCACAGCCAGGUUAAGGAUCCAGUGUUGUCACUGUGGGUUCGAUCCUUGGGCUGGGAACUUCCAUAUACCACAGAAGAAACCAAAAAGAUUAAAAAUAAAUAAAUAAAAUUUUUUUAAAAAGAAAAAGAAAAAGGAAAAACCAAGUUAAUGCCCAAAACAAGAGAGACUGAAAAGUUUUGGAACCAGUUGCAGAUGUCAUCCUAUGACCCAUCAGGAAGGGGGGAGUGACAGAUUACAGCUGGUAUGUUAUGGUUUUUACCUGUUUGAUAUGUACUUGUUUUGUUUUGUUUUGUUUUGUUCUUAGCUGCACCUUUGACAUAUAAAAUUUCCCAUGCCAGGGGUGGAACCCGAGCCACAACAGGGACCUGCGCCACAACAGUGAUAGUGCUGCAUCCUCAACCCACUGAGCCACCGGGGAACUCUUGAUAUUUACCUCUAAAUGUUGAUUUUCCUAAAUCAAACUAGUUCCAGAAGCCAUUAUCAUUAUUAUUGUUCUUGACUCCUCUGGUAUUACCUCAUUCAUAUGCUCACUCAUUCAUUCCCCUUUCACCUCAUAUGUUCAUUCACUCAUAAGCAUUUAUCGUGUGCUAGGCACUAAAUUAGAAGUAUAGUCAAUUGGCUACCAGGUCCUGUCCAUGCAACUUCCAAAUAUCUCCUAAACCUUUCUUGUUCACUUCCCCCACUUCAGAUGUCGCUGCCAUGGUUCAAGCCUCCAUAGCUCCCAUUUGAAUUAUAUCCUUGGCUCUGACCACUAACUAUUCUGUCCAUUAUCCACCCUUCCCAAGAGAGAUCUUUCCAAGAGGCAGAUAGGGGAGUUCCCUGGUGGCUCAGUGGGUUAAGGAUCCGGUGUUGUCACUGCUACAGCUCUGGUUAUUGCUGUGGUGCAGAUUCAGUCUCCGGCCACAUGCCAUGGGUGAGCUCCCCGACCCCCACACAAAAAAGGGGGCAGAUAGGAUUAUCGCUCUCUGUUGAAGACAACUAGUCGUCCCCCAGGAUCCAUCCUUCCUUUCGUUAUAGCCUCCACAUUUUAGGUGAGUACAUGUCUAUCCAGAAUAAAAACUAGGUUUCCCAGCACCCUGGCUGCCAGUGAUGGGUGUGUGACUACAUGCUGGAGAGAGCAAUGUGAAUGACAGCAAUGCGUGUAAGGUCCAGAUUAUGCCUUUCAAGGGAAGGGUGUGUCUUCCACAGCUGCUUUACUCUUCCCUGAUGGCUGAAAAGCAGAAGUGAUGAUGCAAGCUGGAGCAGCCACCUUGGACCACCAGAAGGAAGCCGUGUAUUAAGGAUAUUCUGCCAAUGGGUGGGACAGGGUGGGCCAGGAUCCCUGAGGAUCGUGAAGCCACCGUGCCCACUCUGACUUACCUACCUGGGUUUUUAUAUAAGUGACAAGUAAACUUCUAUCUUCUUUUUUUUUUUUGUCUUUUGUCUUUUUAAGGCUGCACCUGCGGCAUAUGGGGGUUCCCAGGCUAGGGGUCCAAUUGGAGCUACAGCUGCAGGCCUAUGCCACAGCCACAGCAACGCAGGAUCCGAGCCUCAUCUGCUACCUACACAACAGCUUUUGUGGCAAUGCCGGAUCCUUAACCCACUGAGCGAAGCCAGGGAUCAAACCCGAAACCUCAUGGUUCCUAGUCGGAUUCAUUUCUGCUGCGCCAGGACAGGAACUCCAACUUCUAUCUUCUUUACGCCAUUGUUAUUUUGGAGUCUUCCUUACAGUAGUUGAGCUUGUUUCCUAAUUAAUAAACACUCUAACUCAAAAUUCUUUCAAUGGCUCCUUGUCUUUAGGUUAAAUCCAAACUCUUGACCUCAGCACCUAGUACCCUUUGAGAUAUAGGGCCUGUAAGCCUUGUUUCUCACCUUAUCUUCUGCCCCUCUUUUAGUUUAAAUUCUGUGCUUUAGUCACCCCAAAGUACUUUACCAAAUGCACUAAGCUGAUUGGUGCUUCGAGGUGUUUGGCUUUAACUGUUGCCUCUGCCUGGAAUGUCCUUCCUGCUGCUUCUUUGAUGCCUCCUUCCUGCUCAUUCUUCAGGACUCAGUGCUAGAGUCACAGCCACAGCCACAGCAAUGCCAGAUCUGAGCUGCAUCUACGACCUACACCACAGCUCACAGCAACUCCGGAUCCUUAACCCACUGAGUGGGGCCAGGGAUCGAACCUGAGUCCUCAUGGAUACCAGUCGGGUUUGUUACCACUGAGCCACAGAGGGAACUCCUCCUCUUCACUCUCUAAUUAUUCCCUGGCUGUUUUGCUGGCUACUUCUUUCCACUUCAGGGUUGGGUCCCCUGAUUUAGUCUUUAUUCCCCUUCGCUCUACUGUAUCCCAAGGCAAGUUCAUCUGUUCCAUGGUUUUGAUGCAGGUAGUAACAGCUAAGGCAGUGUGCUAAAUACUUUACAUCCUUUACCUGACACAAUGUUGACUAUGAUCCUGUGCAGCAGGCAUGAUCAUCCUUAUUCUCCAAAGAGAAACUGGGACCCAGAGAGGUUAGGUAACUUGCUCAAGUCCCAUAAGGUUCCUUCAGGUGUGGGUACCAGGAUACCCAAAUAAAUGUGGCAUGAACAUGGGGUGGGGUUAUGUCCAUCAUAAGAAACCUAGAGGAGGGUGACAUCUAGAUUGUUUAACUGAGCAGCUCAAUGAUGUCACACUCUGGGUUGACUUCCCUGAGUCUCUUGGUUUCCCCCUCAAGAUCCUAGGAUGGCUGUUCAAUUAGGCAUUGUAUCCUUGCUCGACAGCCAAAGGCAAGCAGGAAGGGACCUUUUCCUCCUAGGCAUCUCUCUUCCUACUGGGGGGGGAGAGCUUUUUCUAGAGGCCCCCAGGAUGGAGUUCCCUUCUUGGCUCAGAGGUUAACAAAUCCUGACUAGGAACCAUGAGGUUGCAGGUUCGAUCCCUGGCCUCGCUCAGUGGAUUGGGGAUCCAGUGUUGCCGUCAGCUGUGGUGUAGAUGGAAGACGCAGCUCUGAUCUGGCAUUGCUGUGGCUGUGGCGUAGGCCGGCAGCUACAGCUCUGAUUAGACCCCUAGCCUGGGAACCUCCAUAUGUUGCAGACGAGGCCCUGGAAAAGACAAAAAAGAAAAAGAAAAAGAAAAAAUAGAAGCCCCCUGGAAAAUCCCCCAUGAGUCCCUGCCUCCCGACCCUCUUCUUUCUUUCCUUGGCCUCUCAAGUUGUAACUGCUGUCUGGCUGACUCUCUUUCGGCUCUGUAACCAUCAGGGUUUGGAUGGCUAAGCUAAAUAGCCAAGGAAUGUAUUGAAUAAUGUGGGGUGUUUACAAAUUCCAAACAUGGACAGGCACCAAAAGCAUUUAGGCUAAGAACAUAGGCAAAGACAGGAAAAGCCUGGUUGGACAGCCACUACUGGCCAUUGGCCACCCACUGCGGUGGGACUCUCCCUUCCCCUCCAAGAACAGACCCUGCCACUUCACCUCUCUCCCUCAAAGAUCAAAGUCCUGGGUAGGAAUAGCCUACUGGUCAGGCCGGGUCACGUGCUCAUUCCCCAGUUGCCAGGAAGGCAGGCAAGAUUCCAGCCUUUCAGCCUCUGCGGGGUGAGACGUGGCUCUCUCCCCAGCAAGCCCUCUGCAGUAUAGGAUUCCCAUAAGAGAGAUGUUUUUCUGCUGGGUACCGUGGUUCUCCUCAACUAGUCAUAGUCUGUCUUGCCUCCAGGGCUUUGCACACACUGUUCGUUUUUCCCCUCUCCCUCUUCUCUAGGCAAAUCCUCCUUAUUUUUAAGAUUUCAUCUCUCUUACACAUCAUUUGCCCUCAAAUAUGGCCAGAUGCCCCUCCCUUGUGCUACCACUGCAGUCUGAACUUUUCCCAGCACCACCUCCAUCACUGCACUGAAAUCACCAUUAUGUCUUUUUUUCUCCAUUUGACUAUAAGUUCUAUGAGGGUGGAUACCCUGCCCUUCUUGUUCACCACUGGAUCCCUAUCACCAAGUACAACACUGGGCAUGUAAUACAUGCUCACUAAAUGUAUACUGGAUGAAUCAAUUAAACAAUGAGUGAGAUGGGAGUUCCCUGGUGGCUCAGUGGGUUAAGGACCUGGUGUUGUCACUGUUGUGGCCCAGUCACUGAUGUGGCAUGGGUUCCAUCCCUGGCCCUGGAACUUCCAUAUGCCACAGGUAGAGCCAAAAAGAAAAAAAAGAAAAAAAGAAAAA
rnacentral:lncRNA from 9 species